rnacentral:rRNA from 1 species
CCCUGCAGUUCUCGCCUGGUUUCCCACUGAAGCUAAGCCGGGUUGAGCCUGGCCUGUACCUGGAUGUGAGACCUCCUGGGGAAACUAAGGUUGCUGCUGGAA